rnacentral:rRNA from 1 species
UACGUAGGGGGCAAGCGUUGUCCGGAUUUAUUGGGCGUAAAGGGUGCGUAGGUGGCGUGGUAAGUCGGGUGUGAAAUUUCGGAGCUUAACUCCGAAACUGCAUUCGAUACUGCUGUGCUUGAGGACUGGAGAGGAGACUGGAAUUCCCAGUGUAGCGGUGAAAUGCGUAGAUAUUGGGAGGAACACCGGUGGCGAAGGCGGCCCCCUGGACCGGUACUGACGCUGAGGCGCGAAAGCGUGGGUAGCAAACGGG